AAUAUAAUCUGGUACUACUGUGGUAUAUGUGACCCUAGUACUUAAAUAUAAUCUGGUACUACUGUGGUAUAUGUGACCCUAAUAGUCAGUUAAUAAAAAACGUGUAGAACAUGACAUAAAGUAAACAUUUAAAACAGUACAAACAGAAUAAAAAGAACAAUAAUAGUAAUCAAUGGUACAGUACCUGGUGCAGUUCAAGGGUAAGGAUGUAUCUUGCAUUGCAUUUGUAAUUAACAAAGAAGGAUCAGAUGAGUGUAAAAGCAAUGGAAAACGUUAAAUGGUUGCCUGAGGUGCAGGUUUAAUAGUUUUUAAAUGACAGACUAUUAACUGUAUGGAUUAUAUUAGGAGGUAGUACAUCCCAGGCAUUAAAAAAUGUUCUAGGAUUGGAGGUAUUAUGUGACCUAAACUAGCAUUCCUUGUGUAAUGGUUAUGUCUACUACUACUACUACGUAUAUUGUAACUGAUUGUAAACAUAUUCAGGUGUCUGAUUAAAUACUACCUUUCUGAAAACAUGGGAUGGCUUUGGGGAAGUUUGAUUUCCAAUGACCACCAUGACAGGCAAGAGUGCAUAUAUAUACUGUAUUAGUUCUUAUUGAACACUGGAAUGGCAGCACAGUUGUACUUUAUUUGUGUUCUUCUUUCAGCUGCUGACCAUAUGAAUAGACAGUAUAGCAAGUAAAAAAAGACCAAGGACUGUAACACCUGGCAAACAAUAUGGUGUAAAAAUAAAAUAAUAAAGUGUUAAAUAGGCAAAGCACAUUAUGGUCAUUGCUACAUCUCUUCCCAUUUCAUUCACAAUGCUGCCAAUGUGCUUAGACCACUGUUCGUCCAACACUAGACCAGUAGCUGGGUGCUUUUGACCUCUUCUAUGGCCAAACCUGACAUAAACAGGUGAAGCUGUGCGUCACCAUUAAUGUUCCUUAAGCCAAACACAAUACUUUUAAUUUUAGAAAUGUUCAGGGCUAGUUCAUUCGCUUUCACCCAAUCAGCCACUCUUUCCAGGGUUUUUAUUAUUAUAAAAAUUAUAUUACAUCACAUGUCAUGUAGCUGACGCUUUUAUCCAAAGCGACUUACAAUAAGAACAUUUCAACCAUAAGGACACAAACUCAAAAGAACAAGAAAGUGUGAUUUCAUCAAACAAGCCGAUGUACAACUUGCUGUAGAUAAGAACCAUUAUAAGUCCAAUGUAAGUGCUACAGUUAGUGUGUUAGUGGAGGUAGAGUCUGAAGAGGUGUGUCUUUAGUCUGAAGAUGUGAAGGCUCUCUGUGGUCCUGAUGUAAGCUGGACCCCAUCCAUUCACAGCAUGGUACGUGAGCACCAUGUUUAGAACUGGAUGAGCCACCGGUACCAGUGAAGAGAGCGGAGGAGUGGAGGAGUGAGGGAGAACUUAGGAAGGUUAAAGACCAGUGGAGCUGCUGCAUUCUGGAUGAGCUGCAGAGGUGGAAUGGUGGUAGCAGGAGACCUGCAGGACAGAGCUGCAGUAGUCCAGGAGGGAGACGACAAGAGCCUGAAUCAGUACCUGUACUUGUUGAAGACGACCUAGAGAGUCACGUCUUUGUGUGUGGAAGUCGUUGGUUGGUUUAUUUAUUCAUCAUAGACUUUAUUGCCCCGUGCAUCCACACUGCUGCUUUUCAUCUCAGACACAUUUGUCCCGUAUUUUCCUCCACAACUUUGUUCCCCUCGACCGGCAAACCGACGUUUGCGGCGAUCUCCCUCCAUGAAUCCAACCCACUUAUACAACCCGCCAAUGACAAUGUUUUCUUCUAGCUGUCUUCCUGUUGUUGUCCACUACUUCACGUUGUCUUCAAGUUCUCUUGUAGUUGUUUUCCACUACUUCUCGUUAUCUGUUGUUAUCUGUUGUCUCCCUGUUGUCUUUCAGCUGUCAUCCUGCUGUUGUCCAGUGCUUUGCAUGUUCUUUGCAUUGUCUUCCAGUCGUCUUCCUGUUGUUGUCCACUACUUCCUAUUGUCUUACCGUUGUUUCCACGUUGUCUCCCAGUUGUCAUUCCAGUGUUUUAGUGUUGUCUUCUUGUUGGCUCCCCACUGUCUUCCAGUUGUCGUCCCCUACUUUCUAUUGUCUUCCUGUUGUCCCCAACUGUAUUCUCGUUGUUGUCCACCAUUUCCCGUUAUUGUCCCAUUGUUGUCACCUACCUAGCUUUGUUCCUUAAAUUAAAUAAUUCACUGCAGAAAACAAAGGAAGUCUGAUGUAGUUCAAUGAAAAAAGAUUUUUUCUCUGAUUUAACCUCUUUUCUUCAUGUUCUGAGACGCAUGCCACCGUGAUCGGCCAAACAGGGUCCAUCACAUCACACUAAUAGACUGCCAAAUGUACAACACACACACGCGCACACACACACACACACACAAUCGCACAGACACAGAGGGCGUUGACCUGCUAUUACUGAGCUUUUCUGCUUCACUGCAGGCUGGUAAUGAUGGUCUGUGUGUGUGUCUGUGUGUCCAGAAACUUGUAAUGUGUUGGUUGAGUAACUUAGUGAUUGACACACCGACCCAGAGAGAGACAGAGAGAGAGGGCCUUAUGGACUAACGCUUUUGCACCCACUUCAGGCGUAUUUGAUUCGCAACGUGCGCGUAAAAGCAUUGCGAAGUGCAAACAUGCCGCUCUGUGGUGAAAGCGCAGUUGCGGGAACUGAAAAUGGCAAAUUGCGCUUUCUCAUGUCAUGCUUUUACGUGCACGUUGCAAAACAAAUACGCUUGAAGUGGCUGCAAAAGCGUUAGUACAUGAGGCCCAGAGAGGGAGAGAAGCAGAGGGACAGAGUUCAGAAUCAGAUGGACAUCCAUAAAAUGGUUAAACACGCACACACCUAAACCCACAGACACACACAAACAGCAGGGUUUUAAUUAGUGAGUUUUAGUUGAGUGAUCAGCUCGUAAAGCUAACAAUGUUUGCUGCCCUCCGCAAAAGCAAAACACCUCAUUUAAUUCAACACACAUGCUCACAUACAGACAAACACAAAGACAUAAAUACAAACUCACACACGGCUGGAAAAUUAACCCAGUUUAAAUCCAUUUCAUUUUGUGCUUAUGGGAUGAAAUGUUCAGUCUGUGUGUCAACAAACAUAAGUUCAUUAAAACUCAAUUUUCUGCUGCAGCUUUCUGUAUUGACCCACCAGUCAUUAAGUCCCUCUGUUUUCAUAUUUAUUUAUAUAUUUAUAAAUAAGUUUACAACAAAUACAGCACAUGUUCAAAAUACCAUAUGUACGGUGUGUGUGUGUGUGAAAGAUAUAUCUGUACACACACCCUAAUAUAUAUAUAUAUAUAUAUAUAUAUAUAUAUACAGCAAAGGUCCUUGAAGAGAGACGUCUCUCCCGUCCCUGUUCCAGUGUCCCAGCUGUAGUGGUCUUGACACACGGACACUGGACCUGAUCCCAGAUCAGCAGCAGGAAACUCUCAAAAACCAAAAUCAGUUUUAAGAGAAUGUCUUUGUUUGAUGAAACCACAUGUUCUCGAUUCAUCUACAUUUUAGUCUCCCUUUUGCUCAGAAUCAGAGAUACGUGUCAUCACUUCUUCUUCAUGUCCUCUGUCCUGCACUUCCUGUCUCCGUCCCAGUGUCUAACUUUUCCACCUCCUCUCAUCCGUCUUCAUCUCUCGGUCUCUUCUGCGGUGUCUCUCGUCCGUCUCCAUCACUCCACAUUAGCUCCCUCUCUCCUCUAUUACCUCCCUCUCUCCUCCAUUAGUAACACCUGAAUCCUUCUAUUAGAUUGAGGAAGUCGGCCUCAUAAAUUCGCCGGCGUUCCUCCGCAGCCGAGCGCCGGCUCAGUGUUUUUGAUAAUGAAAGGAUCUGGGCUUAAAUUCACAUUACCUUUGUGAUGUACUUCAUGCUUGAUCAUAUCAGGCUCUUUGAUUUUAUUAACGUCUCUGAAUGGAUUUCUCGUUCUCUCUGCCCGUCCAUCUCCGUCUGUCGCCCCCCUCCCAACGUCUACUCCAACGAGGGCUUCGUCCUCCGAGGGGGGCGCUGAAGGUCGAGGGACUUGGGGUCGAGAGGCAGCAGACUGCCCGGCAGCUGCAAAGCAUGAUGGGAAACCUGCAAGGGCUUUACAUGAAUCAACAGAAGAACUCAGCGGACUCAAACAUGGUUAUUUGUAACGCACGCUGGCGGAGCGGCACAUUGAGACAAAGUAAAUAAAGUGCUGUAAUCACCACCCGGCUGGUACACGCAGUGACUCCGAUCAAACACACCCAAGGUGUUGAGGAUCAGCUCAGACACUGUGACAUCAUAAACAUAAAUAUCCUUGUUGCGUUUGACCUGCGUGUGUCCUCUGAGUCAAACCCGAGACCUGGAGGAGGUCUGUUAAAAUAACAAUCAGAGCUACUGUUUGUCCCUUAAUCGAUAAAUAUAAUUUGCAAUACGCUGCUAUCAGAUUUAAUGAGAAAAGAUUAACACACACACCCACACACACACAAAGCGCAUACAAAGCAAAAAUAAAGUGCACACAUACACGCGCACACACACAUGGAGUCAGUUAACCCAUUCUGACCUCUCUGCUGCUCUGCUGCUUUCCAACACACAACCUGUCAAACUGUCAGUGUGUGUGUGUGUGUGUGUGUAUAUUUCAUUAGUUUCAACAGUUUCAGAGUUUGAGGAUCGAUAUGCUUGAGUGUGUGAGUGUGUGUGUGUGUGUGUCUGUGUAAAGUAACAAAAGCACUUGUCAGAGGCACUGUCAGAAGUCCCGCCCCUGACUGUCUGUCAUAGUAUUUUGAUUGACAGCUCUUAACACAUGACAUCUUAUUGUGUUGUAGUUGAUUCAUUUUUAUUUAUUUAUUAAUAAAUUAAAUAUUCAUCUGAAGGAACCUGACGGUAAAAGGUCUGUGUGUUCUGUUCUGGUUGCUUAAAUAUCUGCAGAGCCAACGCACUACGAUCUACGAGCAAGUACGUUAGGAGAGGAGAGAAUUUAGAGCUAUAGGAGGAGGUUGUCAGUAGGGAGGUUCUAAGAGUCAGUGUGGAGGUUCUAAGAGUCAGUGGGGAGGUUCUUAGAGUCAGUGUGGAGGUUCUAAGAGUCAGUGUGGAGGUUCUAAGAGUUAGUGUGGAGGUUCUAAGUGUCAGUGGGGAGGUUCUUAGAGUCAGUGUGGAGGUUCUAAGAGUCAGGAGGGAGGUUCUAAAAGUUAGUGUGGAGGUUCUAAGAGUCAGUGGGGAGGUUCUUAGAGUCAGUGGGGAGGUUCUAAGAGUCAGUGUGGAGGUUCUAAGAGUCAGUGGGGAGGUUCUUAGAGUCAGCGUGGAGGUUCUAAGAGUCAGUGGGGAGGUUCUUAGAGUCAGUGUGGAGGUUCUAAGAGUCAGUGAGGAGGUUCUGAGCAUCAGUGAGGAGGUUCUAAGAGUCAGUGAGGAGGUUCUAUGAGCCAGUGAGGAGGUUCUAAGAGUCAGUGAGGAGGUUCUAAGAGUUAUUAAAGAGCUUCCUGGGUCUUUAUUUUGUAUCUGCUGUUAACUAUGUUAAAGCGGGAAUAAGCAUUUUUACAGUAAUGGAGGAUGGUUGUACUGUUCCUUUGUGAAGCAGCUACUUUAAUGGAGCAUCAGGAAUCGAGAAUCAGGAACAUUCAUUGCGCGCCGUCAUUUGCGACCGGGCGCUGCUGCUACUUUUAUAGAAAUGCUAUUUAUGUAUUUCAUCAUCCGGCGGUCUGCACUGGACGCCCCGCGGGCCGUAUGUUUGACACCCCUGCACUAAGGGGUUAUUAAUGGCGAACAGUGGUACUGUUUCUUUAAGAAGCAGCUCCCUGAGACUUGACCUACCUGAAUAAAGGCUUUGAGUUCUACCUUCACUUUGCUCUUUACAGUCAUAUCUCCCUUUGUGUGAUGUAAAACGACUUUAUGGAGCUCGUAUCAUGAAAAUUGAUUAGUCGUACAGAAAAGAAGGUUAAUCGAGACCUUAAAUAAGAACUAUAACUCUCUCUCUCUCCACCAGGUUGGGAGGUGUCAUCCUCUGCUGCUUUAUGGAGAAACCAGACUUAACGAGGGCUAACAAAAUGUCAGCAGCCGACCAAUCAGGAGCCAGCAAUAGGACAGGGAGACUUAUUCGAGUGGGAAGUCUGAAGGAGUCAUUUCAGAGUGAGGAUUGAGAGGAGGAGGAGGAGGAAGAUCAGAAGGAGGAAGAAAAUUAUGAGGACAAGACAAUUAGAAGGUGGAAGAGUAGGAAAAGGAGAAGGAGUAGAAGGGGGAAGAGGAGCAGGAAGAGAGGGAGAAAGAGGAGGGUGAAAAGAGGAAGAGGAGGAAAAGAAGAAUAGGGAGAAGGGUGAAGAGGAGGUGGAAGAGGAGAAAGUGGAAGAGGGAGGGGGAAUGAAGAAGAGGAAGAGGAGGAAGAUGAAGGGAAAGAGGAGGAGGAGGAAAAUGAAGAGAUGGAGGAGGACGAACAAGAAGAGGAAGGAGGUCAUUUUUUAAAUCAGCAGUAACUUUCUUGUCGAACAAGAAGAAAAAGUGAGUCUCCUUAAGUGUGUAAAACUGUUAAAGACUAAAUGAGAACCUCCCCCUCUCUCUCUCCCCCUCUGUCUAAAUCAAUCAAUAAUUCCCUUGUCGUUACUGCAGCAUGAAGCCAAUCAGGAUAAAACAGGGAAUUAUAUUCAUGAAACAACAAAGUGCUCAGACAGCAAAACAAAUUGUGAGAGCGUACUUGUCUGUGUUGUAUGUGUGUAUGUGUGUGUGUAUGUGUGUGUGUGUGUGUUUGUGUGUGUGUGUGUGUGUGUGUGUGUGUGUGAGACAAAUGUCAAUAAGUUUUCCAUAGAAAACAAACAGUGUCGCUGAAAUGAGAUGGAGAAUGACAUGUUAGUCAUUUAAGCAUGAAGGAGAAAAAAACACAUUGAACCUGUAUAUAUUUAUAUACAGUAUAUAUACACAUACAAUAUAUAUACGGGUUCAGCUGGUUUCAGUGACCACCACAUCAUCACUGUGGACCUGAUCACUUCACCGGGUCAAUGGAUAAAGUCCAACUAGUGCUUUAAUAACAUUUAUAUUACGAGACUGCUCUCUCACUCUGCUAGAGCUCCUCUCUCUCCUCUGUCCUCGUCCUUCUGGACGUCUCUGCUGCAUUUGACACAGUCAACCACCAGAUCCUUAUUUCCUUCCUUCAGGAACUUGGUGUCUCAGGCUCUGCUCUCUCCCUUCUCUCGUCCUACCUUGACGGCUGCACCUACCGGGUAACCUGGAGAGGAUCUGUGUCGGAACCUUGUUCUCUUACUACGGGAGUUCCUCAGGGUUCCGUCCUGGGUCCCCUCCUCUUCUCGCUCUACACCAACUCUCUCAGCGCUGUCAUCCGCUCGCAUGGCUUCUCCUACCACAGCGAUGCUGAUGACACCAACUAAUUCUCUCCUUCCCUCACUCGGAUCUCUGUCUGUCUGACUGACAUCUCUCAGUGGAUCCGCCCACCAUCUGAAAAUCAACCCCGAGACUACUUCUCUUUCCAGGAAAAGAUUCUCCUUCACAGGACCUGACUGUUAACUUUGAGACUCCGUGUUAACGCCCACUUUGACUGCAGGAACUUCGGCGUGACAUCGACAGCCGAC
ensembl:lncRNA